CCCAGACUCCUACGGGAGGCAGCAGUGGGAAAUAUUGCACAAUGGGGGGAACCCUGAUGCAGCGACGCCGCGUGGGUGAAGGAGUAUUUCGGUAUGUAAAGCCCUAUCAGCAGGGAAGAACAAUGACGGUACCUGACUAAGAAGCACCGGCUAAAUACGUGCCAGCAGCCGCGGUAAUACGUAGGGGGCAAGCGUUAUCCGGAUUUACUGGGUGUAAAGGAGGCGCAGACGGCAGCGCAAGCCAGGAGUGAAAGCCCGGGGCCCAACCCCGGGACUGCUCUUGGAACUGCGCGGCUGGAGUGCAGGAGGGGCAGGCGGAAUUCCUGGUGUAGCGGUGAAAUGCGUAGAUAUCAGGAGGAACACCGGUGGCGAAGGCGGCCUGCUGGACUGCGACUGACGUUGAGGCCCGAAAGCGUGGGGAGCAAACAGGAUUAGAUACCCUCGUAA
rnacentral:rRNA from 1 species